rnacentral:rRNA from 1 species
CGGCAGGCCUAACACAUGCAAGUCGAACGGUAACAGGAAGCAGCUUGCUGCUUCGCUGACGAGUGGCGGACGGGUGAGUAAUGUCUGGGAAACUGCCUGAUGGAGGGGGAUAACUACUGGAAACGGUAGCUAAUACCGCAUAAUGUCGCAAGACCAAAGAGGGGGACCUUCGGGCCUCUUGCCAUCGGAUGUGCCCAGAUGGGAUUAGCUUGUUGGUGGGGUAACGGCUCACCAAGGCGACGAUCCCUAGCUGGUCUGAGAGGAUGACCAGCCACACUGGAACUGAGACACGGUCCAGACUCCUACGGGAGGCAGCAGUGGGGAAUAUUGCACAAUGGGCGCAAGCCUGAUGCAGCCAUGCCGCGUGUAUGAAGAAGGCCUUCGGGUUGUAAAGUACUUUCAGCGGGGAGGAAGGGAGUAAAGUUAAUACCUUUGCUCAUUGACGUUAUCCGCAGAAGAAGCACCGGCUAACUCCGUGCCAGCA